ACCUCUUUGCUUCUCUCAAGUGGCCAUGAGACGUUUUAAAACCGUGGCAUCAGACCGAUGCGAGGCGAGCGGGUGCCCAGGUGUGAUGUGCAGGUAUAUAUAUAUACAUACUGUAUGUAUAUGUAUAUGUAUAUACAUAUGAUAUGAUAGAACACACCUGUACGCCUUCUUUAUGUCCUCCUGGGAGGCUCCUUUCUCCAGACCCAGCACUUUGUACAAACUGUCUCCGGCCGUUGACAUUUUCCUCUGCGGCCGGUCCGGAUCCUCCAUGUUUCACAGCUUCUAAACUGAAAGAAAAACACACCAACAGAAGAAGAAGAAGAAGAAGAAGAAGAAGAAGAAAAAGCCCAGGAGCUCCAGUGAAAUCCACCGGGUGGGAAACUGACAGGUUUGACCCCUGCUCGCGCUGCGGCGGUUAGCUCGCGCCGGGCGGAAGUGUUCGCUCGCCGAAUGGUGCAGGUUCCCCUACUUAUCCACACCUCUGAGAUCCGGCUGUCACGCUCCCUUAGUGGGCCUGCUCAGCUGUAACCCUGAUGGAUGGUGAAGGUCAUCUCCGUGGGCACUGCUCCACGUUGGUCUUUUGUUUUCUGGUGCCACUGUAUUGUCACGCAGCUCUCAGCGACUUGUUAGGAUCCACGCGACAGCUGACGGGUUUCGGUAAUUUCAAGGUUUCAAGAGUGAUGGGUGAGAAGUGGCACAGCGUGGGAGUGAAGGAGGCAGAGCAUUACCUCCAAUCACGGCCGAGCCUCUCAGCCUCGGGCCGCGCUACACACAACACUUUACAAUCAGUCGCCGUGGUUAAUAAAGAAAUAUAAUGUCCACAUGAUCUGUUAUUUCCCCCUUUGAAUCGACAUCCCGGGCGAUAGAUCCUGAGAAAGGAGGGGUCUGCUGUCUCUCAGAAAUAAUCCCGUUUUACAUUCACCAGGAGCUUCAUAGUGGCUUUACAACUGGAAUGUUGAUGCAU